CCGGAGCUAACGCGUUAAGUCGACCGCCUGGGGAGUACGGCCGCAAGGUUAAAACUCAAAUGAAUUGACGGGGGCCCGCACAAGCGGUGGAGCAUGUGGUUUAAUUCGAUGCAACGCGAAGAACCUUACCUGGUCUUGACAUCCACAGAACCCUGUAGAGAUACGGGGGUGCCUUCGGGAACUGUGAGACAGGUGCUGCAUGGCUGUCGUCAGCUCGUGUUGUGAAAUGUUGGGUUAAGUCCCGCAACGAGCGCAACCCUUAUCCUUUGUUGCCAGCGGUCCGGCCGGGAACUCAAAGGAGACUGCCAGUGAUAAACUGGAGGAAGGUGGGGAUGACGUCAAGUCAUCAUGGCCCUUACGACCAGGGCUACACACGUGCUACAAUGGCGCAUACAAAGAGAAGCGACCUCGCGAGAGCAAGCGGACCUCAUAAAGUGCGUCGUAGUCCGGAUUGGAGUCUGCAACUCGACUCCAUGAAGUCGGAAUCGCUAGUAAUCGUGGAUCAGAAUGCCACGGUGAAUACGUUCCCGGGCCUUGUACACACCGCCCGUCACACCAUGGGAGUGGGUUGCAAAAGAA
rnacentral:rRNA from 1 species